rnacentral:tRNA from 1 species
GGGCUGUGGCGCAGGGGGAGCGCGCUUCCUUGGCAUGGAAGAGGCCGCGGGUUCAAUUCCCG